AGCGAACGCUGGCGGCAGGCUUAACACAUGCAAGUCGAGCGGGCACUUUCGGGUGUCAGCGGCGGACGGGUGAGUAACGCGUGGGAACGUGCCCUCUGGUUCGGAAUAACUCAGGGAAACUUGAGCUAAUACCGGAUACGCCCUUUUGGGGAAAGGCUUGCUGCCGGAGGAUCGGCCCGCGCCUGAUUAGCUAGUUGGUGGGGUAACGGCUCACCAAGGCGACGAUCAGUAGCUGGUCUGAGAGGAUGAUCAGCCACACUGGGACUGAGACACGGCCCAGACUCCUACGGGAGGCAGCAGUGGGGAAUAUUGGAAAAUGGGCGCAAGCCUGAUCCAGCCAUGCCGCGUGAGUGAUGAAGGCCUUAGGGUUGUAAAGCUCUUUUAUCCGGGACGAUAAUGACGGUACCGGAGGAAUAAGCCCCGGCUAACUUCGUG
rnacentral:rRNA from 1 species